CCUACGGGAGGCAGCAGUGGGGAAUAUUGCACACUGGGGGAAACCCUGAUGCAGCGACGCCGCGUGAGUGAAGAAGUAUUUCGGUAUGUAAAGCUCUAUCAGCAGGAACGAGACAAGACGGUACCUGACUAAGGAGCCCCGGCUAACUACGUGCCAGCAGACGCGUUAAUACGUAGGGGGCAAGCGUUACCCGGAAUCACUGGGUGUAAAGGGAGCGUAGACGGCCGAUAAAGCCUGAAGUGAAAGGCGGGGGCCCAACCCCCGUACUGCUUUUGGAACUGUACGGCGGGAGUGCAGGAGAGGUAAGUGGAAGUCCUAGUGUAGCGGUGAAAUGCGUAGAGAGUAGGAGGAACACCAGUGGCGAAGGCGGCUUACUGGACUGUAACUGACGUUGAGGCUCGAAAGCGUGGGGAGCAAACAGGAUUAGAUACCCGAGUAGUC
rnacentral:rRNA from 1 species